GACGAGCCACACGAACGUUAUUCGGAAUUACUGGGCUUAAAGGGUGCGUAGGCUGCGCGGAAAGUUGGGUGUGAAAUCCCUCGGCUCAACCGAGGAACUGCGCCCAAAACUACCGUGCUCGAGGAAGAUAGAGGUAAGCGGAACUUACGGUGGAGCGGUGAAAUGCGUUGAUAUCGUAAGGAACACCUGUGGCGAAAGCGGCUUACUGGGCCUUUUCUGACGCUGAGGAGCGAAAGCCAGGGGAGCAAACGGG
rnacentral:rRNA from 1 species